GGCUGGCUCGAAGGUAGUGAGUUAUCUUACUUGAUUGUUCAUAGUCAGUUACAGAUCGACUCUUUGCUCUACUACUUUCCCCGCUUUUCACUACUGUACUUGACUACUCUCAA
rnacentral:Y_RNA from 1 species